rnacentral:rRNA from 1 species
UGAGUAACCUGCCCUUAACUCUGGGAUAAGCCUGGGGAAACUGGGUCUAAUACCGGAUAUGACUCCUCAUCGCAUGGGUGGGGGGUGGGAAGGCUUUAUUGUGGUUCUGGNUGGGACUCGCGGCCUAUCAGCUUGUUGGUGAGGGUAAUGGGCUCACCAAGGCGACGACGGGUAGCCGGGCCUGGAGAGGGGUGACCGGGCCACACUGGGACUGAGACACGGCCCAGACUCCUACGGGAGGCAG